rnacentral:rRNA from 1 species
GACGAAGGGGGCUAGCGUUGUUCGGAAUUACUGGGCGUAAAGCGCGUGUAGGCGGUUGCCCAAGUCGGGUGUGAAAGCCUUGAGCUCAACUCAAGAAAUGCACUCGGUACUGGGUGACUAGAGGACCGGAGAGGAUAGUGGAAUUCCCAGUGUAGUGGUGAAAUACGUAGAGAUUGGGAAGAACACCAGUGGCGAAGGCGGCUAUCUGGACACAUAUUGACGCUGAGGUGCGAAAGCGUGGGGAGCAAACAGG